CGGAUUAAAGGACAAAUAAGAUGCAUUUCACAUGUGUGUCAGGAUCAAGUUUCACACAUAUGACGACUCAGUGUAUAGAAAACAAUGUCACAUCUUUAUUACUUAAUACAAUUUCUAUACAAAAUAACUAAAUAAAUUACACCAUAUGAUGACGAUAAUCCUCCACAAUCACAGUUGACUAGGAGACGAUGGCCUAGACCUCUCUGAACUCUUCAUACCAAUCUUCAUCCGACGAUACCUGCUCUUGACCUGGUGUGGUUAUAGAAAGUGUGAGCUCCUAUACGAUCAUUGCUCGACAAGUGUGGGAAAAGUGUCGUGUAAGGCUUACCAAGGAAUGUGGUUGAGGCUGAGCAUUCCUUUUAAUUUUGUUGGUCAAAGUUUUAUUAGCAAUUACUAAGUAUAAGUGAAUACCAACCCAAUUAAAUAAGAGAUCAUAAAUGUAAUUCCCACAAUGCAAUGCAUGUCAAGUUAAGUUUAGUUCCAUCGUUUAAUCAUGCGAGAGGCUUGAGGCGCUCUUGACCGUGAGCACGGUUGAUAUACCAGAUUUACACUCUACAGAGGCUGCACCCUUUACCCAUAAGUCGUUAUCCUAUUUUGCCUUAGGUUGAGUAGACUCUUAAGAACUUACAAGGUGACUAGGCGAGGGCUCACUACAAGGCCUUCACAAAGUUCCACUAGCGUGAGAAAACCCGCUACAGUUUCAGACAUAGGGGGUAUAGGACCCCGUCGUCCGAAAAGCUAUCAUAGAUAGAUCAACCCGAGAACCUCCAUAUACUUGCUGCAACUCCUUUCCCGUUUUCCCCUUUCGGGUAAUGAUUAUCUCACACUAGCUUCUCUAAUUAAUUAGCCAAGGACAUCCCAUUCCACCCUUAUGGUAGCACUGUUGUCCCGGGUUGGUGCUCCUUGUUCCAACUAAACACAGUAAUUUUUAUCAUGUACAUUAAUAAUAAAGCAACAAUAAUAGUAAAGCAUAAUCAUAAUUCAUGUGGAACAUUAAUCCCAAAACUAAGUAGAGCAAUAGCAAGACUACCCAAUAAUUCAUAUAUAUGUAAGGUGUAGGGAAAACAAAACUAGGUAACCUAUUAGGUCCCAUUAAUUUAACCUAACAAUGCUUGCAUGGUGAGAACAUAAAAGUUAAUAUUAUUAGGUCAAACAAUAUGAUCAAAGACACAACUUGCCUUUUUGGUGCAAAUCCAACUGCUCAGAUGUUGGGCUUCAGGUUCCUCGCAACCUCGCUCCUCUAAUCGUAGCAAUACAAAUAGAUAGACAAGCAAUAAGCACAAAUAACAUUACACCAAACACGGAAUCAAACUGUCUACUAUGCAUAGAGACGAAACUCUAGGUUCGAGAACCACUAAAAUCGGAGUUAAAACAGAGAAGUUAUGAAUUCCCUAAGUUCUUAGAAUUAUUACUAUACUAAAAAUCAAUUUUAGAUUUAAUUUUUGUAGUUACCCAGACCUGUGGACGAUGAACACUAUUUUUUAGUAAAGACAGGGUUCAUUUUGCAAAAUGUUGGACCUCACGGUAAUAGUUUUUUAAUAGAGGUGGAUUGCGUUUUCUUUCUAAGAAGGAUAGUGACUCUUUAGCAAUUAUCCACGACCAAAGGAUGGGACUCACCAGGAUCGUCCGAUCUGAAAUCGACGACCUCGAUCUAUUUCGUGAAUCGUUACAUGAGGUUCUAAUCCACACCGCCAGCUGGUCGAUCAACGACGCGGAUCAUAUGGACCGAAGCGAUAUCUUCCUAUCUAAUCCUGGCCAUCCAUAUGCAGAUCAAUAGCUACGACUCUUCUCUCUCCCCAUGAUGGCACCUGGGCGGUGAUGCCCACGUUCCCAUGGCGGAGGCUCACCGUCGUGUGACCAAUUCUCGCUAUGGAAUGCUACUCUCCAACCCGACAUGCUCUACGCGAUGCAAGGAUCAUUGCGAACACGAUUGUAGGUGUCUUACCAGAGGGCGCGGUGCAAAGGGCUCUCCACUCGGCGAGGUGCGAAACCGUGUUGGCGAUUAGCUCUGGUGAGCGCGAUUCUUGGCCCCUAGGGCUGCUAGGUCGAGUACUAUCGAGUUCUACACGACGCUACGAACACGACGAACUCAAGGAAAAAACAUCUCACCGGUGAUGGCGACGGGGUGAAGUCGAGCUAUGGCGUGCGGUGGUUCCACAGCACCGCGUGAGGUCUCCCCAGCUGUCCGGUUACUCUCCAUGCCACAUAGAGCCACGAACGGGCGUGGUGUGCUCCAUCUAUCGCCCCUCGGUACUCACCUAGGGCCCGGUGGCUGUGUGACUUUGACCGUGGCGACGCUUCCCUCUCUGUUCUCUCCGUUCGCUCACGGUGAAAGAGUAUCAGAGGGCUUGAAGCGUGCACUUUGUCUCGUGCAGCCUGCAUGUUUAUGUAGGCCAGGAAUAGCCUCUGAAUGUGG
rnacentral:lncRNA from 1 species